CAGUUUUUAUAGGGCAAGUUGUGGCCUUUUUUUCCGUUAGGGAAGAGCGAUGACGUUGAUUGAGGUACAACAUGUGAUAAACCAUAACUCAGGUAGCGGCCUUUAUUUUUAAGAGGGAAGAGAAAGCCACUAAUAGCGACUGAAAUUCGAUUGUUUGCUACUAAGUUCGAGCUUAUGAAAUCUUAGGCAAUCCAAUAAAGCGACAGUCUUACGACAGCGUAGACCCUGAAUUUGAUGACUCUGUACCUUCUGUCAAUAACUUUUCCAAAGAAAACUUUUUUGAAAUGUUUAGACCAGUUUUUGAAGCAAAC